GACGAACGCUGGCGGCGUGCUUAACACAUGCAAGUCGAACGGUCCUAUCGUUGACACUGAGUAUAUUGCCAAGCGUCUUGCGAAAGCGAAGCUUGAGCAACACGGUACAAUCCAAGAGCAUAGCACAUGCAAGGAUGGCGAUAUAUUGAGUGUUAACGAUAGGAUAGUGGCGGACGGGCGAGUAACGCGUGAGCAACCUGCCCUAAAGUGGGGGAUAACGUCGGGAAACCGGCGCUAAUACCGCAUAAGACUACGAAUCCGCAUGGAUAUGUAGUCAAAGGCUCCGGCGGUUUAGGAUGGGCUCGCGUCCGAUUAGCUAGUUGGUGAGGUAACGGCCCACCAAGGCGACGAUCGGUAGCCGAACUGAGAGGUUGAUCGGCCACAUUGGGACUGAGACACGGCCCAGACUCCUACGGGAGGCAGCAGUGGGGAAUAUUGCGCAAUGGGGGAAACCCUGACGCAGCAACGCCGCGUGAAGGAUG
rnacentral:rRNA from 1 species